rnacentral:rRNA from 1 species
CCCAGCCAUCCCGCGUGCAGGAAGACGGCCCUACGGGUUGUAAACUGCUUUUAUACAGGAAGAACACCACCCACGUGUGGGUGACUGACGGUACUGUAAGAAUAAGGACCGGCUAACUCCGUGCCAGCAGCCGCGGUAAUACGGAGGGUCCGAGCGUUAUCCGGAAUCAUUGGGUUUAAAGGGUCCGUAGGCGGGCUAAUAAGUCAGAGGUGAAAGUUUGCAGCUCAACUGUAAAAUUGCCUUUGAUACUGWUAGUCUUGAGUUAUAGUGAAGUGGUUAGAAUAAGUGGUGUAGCGGUGAAAUGCAUAGAUAUCACUUAGAAUACCGAUUGCGAAGGCAGAUCACUAACUGUAUACUGACGCUGAGGGACGAAAGCAUGGGUAGCGAACGGGAUUAGAUACCCCGGUAGUCCAUGCUGUAAACGAUGGAUACUAGCUGUUGGCUUCGGUCAGUGGCUAACCAA